AGUAACGGCGAGUGAAGCGGCAACAGCUCAAAUUUGAAAUCUGGCUCUUUUAGGGCCCGAGUUGUAAUUUGCAGAGGGCGCUUUGGCUUUGGUAGCGGUCCAAGUUCCUUGGAACAGGACGUCACAGAGGGUGAGAAUCCCGUACGUGGUCGCUAGCUAUUGCCGUGUAAAGCCCCUUCGACGAGUCGAGUUGUUUGGGAAUGCAGCUCUAAAUGGGAGGUAAAUUUCUUCUAAAGCUAAAUAUUGGCCAGAGACCGAUAGCGCACAAGUAGAGUGAUCGAAAGAUGAAAAGCACUUUGGAAAGAGAGUCAAACAGCACGUGAAAUUGUUGAAAGGGAAGCGCUUGCAGCCAGACUUGCUUGCAGUUGCUCAUCCGGGCUUUUGCCCGGUGCACUCUUCUGUAGGCAGGCCAGCAUCAGUUUGGGCGGUGGGAUAAAGGUCUCUGACACGUUCCUUCCUUCGGGUUGGCCAUAUAGGGGAGACGUCAUACCACCAGCCUGGACUGAGGUCCGCGCAUCUGCUAGGAUGCUGGCGUAAUGGCUGUAAGCGGCCCGUCUUGAAACACGGACCAAGGAGUCUAACAUCUAUGCGAGUGUUUGGGUGUCAAGCCCGAGCGCGUAAUGAAAGUGAACGGAGGUGGGAACCCGCAAGGGCGCACCAUCGACCGAUCCUGAAGUUUACGGAAGGAUUUGAGUAAGAGCAUGGCUGUUGGGACCCGAAAGAUGGUGAACUAUGCUUGAAUAGGGUGAAGCCAGAGGAAACUCUGGUGGAGGCUCGCAGCGGUUCUGACGUGCAAAUCGAUCGUCAAA
rnacentral:rRNA from 1 species